rnacentral:rRNA from 1 species
AUUGAACGCUGGCGGCAGGCCUAACACAUGCAAGUCGAGCGGAGCGGCAGACGGGUGAGUAAUGGCUAGGAAUCUGCCUGGUCGUGGGGGAUGACGUCAGGAAACGGGCGCGAAUACCGCAUACUAUCAGAUUAGCCUAGGUCGGAUUAGCUAGUUGGUGGGGUAAGGGCCUACCAUGGCGACGAUCAGGAACUGGUCUGAGAGGAUGAGCAGCCACACUGGAACUGAGACACGGUCCAGACUCCUACGGGAGGCAGCAGUGGGGAAUAUUGGACAAUGGGCGAAAGCCUGAUGCAGCCAUGCCGCGUGUGUGAAGAAGGGCUUCGGAUUGUAAAGCACUUUAAGUUGGGAGGCGUUACCCACAGAAUAAGCACCGGCUAACUUCGUGCCAGCAGCCGCGGUAAUUC